CACGUUGCGCCAACGAACUUUGUGCUACGAAUAAAACGCGUAUCAACGAUUUCAUACAAGAUUAAUAGUAAUUUGAUUACAGAAAGAUUUGUCCAUUUAUUUUAGCAAAAAACUAAUUAAGUUAUAACUUGAAAAAAAAAUAAGAACUACUGGGGAUUGAUAGACCCCACUUACUAAUCUCAGGUUAAAACAAUCAUUACACACAUAAUUAUUAAUUACAAUAUAUCAUUUAGUUCAUACAUUGAAUAAUGUACGAACAACGAAAAGAAAUAUUAUUGGACCAAUGCUUAGCGGUUAAAUAUUUAGGAUUUUAAAUAGGGGACUGAAAGAUCCUUGAACUUGUUUAAAAGUUCAUUAACAUCAACUAAUCUGCUCAAAACGAAAAUGUAAAUAGAACCGAUACAUAUUUGUGUACACCGUUCAGCUUCCUUCUUUCGCAUCUACUGACUACCGGUUCUACAUAUAGGUCCACGAAUUCGCGAGUCCUUGUAAACAGACGUUUCACAGGACAGUGUUUCCUUGAUCGUCGUGCCGGUAAGACGUAUAAGGACAUGUCCGUGUUUCAACGAAUAAAUUAUAUCAAGACGAGUUGAAGCUUUGAAUCGUUCCGAGUUUGGCGGUGAAAAUCUUCGAUCGAUGUUGACUGCCAUCCCCUCUUCACUGGAUCCUGAAUCCUCCCUCAGGAUCAUCCCUGGUCCAAUGGUGGAGGAGCCCAUCUCUGUCCGGAGGCGGUCCCUCUCCCUGGCUUCGGUCCACCCUUAGGCGAGUGGAAGAUGGUGAUACUCUGCCAAGACUCGAGAACGAUUCUGUGCACACGUGCUAAGAGAAAGCGUGGGAUCCAGAGAAAACGGAAGAUAAAGAGGUCUCGCGCUAACGAGCCAAGGCAACCCUUAAGAGAAUUUACGACCCUUUGUAAAUAAACAGGAUGUCGAAGAGACUUCGACAGUCUCAAGAACCAACAUGAUUUUCGUUAAGAGUAACGAAUUAGAUACGGCCCGUAAUAAAUUAGUUUCUUAGAAA